AACCAACCCGGAUUUUCCUGACUGAUCUCAAUUAUUUCAGCCAAAUCUGUUUCAUUUACAGCUGUCAAUCUAAAGCCUCCCACGUGGUCUUCAGGGCGGGCGCAUCUCGACUAGUUGAAUGUGCAACUUUUAGGUGGGCAGUUGCACUUGCACGUGCAUGUAGGAUACUCAACAGAAAACGUCCUGGAAGUCUGGAGGCGCGUCUUCUGCGGCAUCCAGAUUACUCCCAUCUGGUGCAAACCCGGUGCGCGCCGCUGCUGCCUCUUAUUCCAGGACUAAUUUCAGUCAGCGCUUUGAACCCCGAGCGCACUGCGUUGUGGCGGAGUGUAAGUGAGUGCGUUAAGUUCGAACUAGGAGCCUGAAUACGGUUUAUAUUUUAACAACGCCAAAUACAACAAAGUAUUUUGGCCAUUUCUGUUCAGCAAGAGGACUUAGAAGUAGGAUCGCACCAUGGAUACGGUCGGCGACUCUAUCGGAGAAAGUAAGCCGGUGUGCCAGUGUACCCCCAAGUCCCGGAGCCAGCGAUGGGUGCCAGGUUUCCCCAUCGCUCUGUGCUUGCUGAUGUCGAUGAGCUCCAUCACCGUGUGUCUUCUGAUGAGCUUGAAGACCUAUCAGCUGGAGAACCGACUGCAGAUGGAGUUGGACAAGGCGUCUAUCUUCCAACACCCGAAAAGGGCGUUCGUAAACGAGGAUGGGACCCUACUGUCAGAGUUGAGCACCCCAAUAGGAAAGCUCGUGGAAGAGAAAGUGGUGGCUCUGACGCCAAAAGUGCGGCCAGCGAGGGAUGUUGGCCAAGAGUGCUCCUGUCCUCCAGGGCCUCCAGGAAAACGUGGAAGGAUGGGAAGAAGAGGGGAACCUGGGCUUCCUGUAAGUACCAUUCCACCUCAUCCAGGUAGUAUGGAAACAAACUAAAGAGAGGUUUCAACAUCAGUCACGCAUGCACACACAUCCACCUUGUAUCAUCCCUCGCUGUGAGUCCUGCACGGCCCGGCAAACUGCGGGAGUUGCCAGGAAUCCUUUCACUCACAGACAUACAGACUGUCACAGACUCACUCGCACAUGCAUCCACAGAGAACGCCAAUAAAUGGACCACCUGUGCAUGUGGGUGUCCAUGACUGUGUGUUUGAGUCUUUCAUGGUGAUGGUUAGGGAGGUGUGACUUAUUUGCAGUGAGUUAUUCUCCUCUGUGGGACUGUAACUCCUGCUGACACUCUGACACACUCGGGAGAUAAAACACACCGUUACUCAAAGCCUUGUACAGAGUGGAAACUGAUGCAGCUGCCUUCAGAUUUGUUUUUUGUUUUGUUUUUUCCAUCUGCAUUUUAAAUGUCCAAUUUCAGUUUUUAUUCCCUUCUUUUUCUUUCUUUUUUUUAUUAAAUUGUCCCAUGUGGCACUGAUCAGAUAUGCAGAAUUGGAAAUGCUCUGAAACGUACCGUGACGAGCUUCCGGACACAUCAGAACAAAAACAGCAUGCCCGGCCAACCAGGAUUUGUUCGAUUGGUCUGCAUCUGAUCCACACUAGGUGUGCAUGAAACAAUGUCUUCUCUUAAAGACCCCCACAAAACUUACAGCCUAAAUCUCAUAAAGUUGAUGGGAAGGUGUGGUAAUCCAGUCACUCGCUACUCUGCAAAGUAGCAAUGUGUCAGUGCCGUUUAUCUAAGUAAUGUGCAGUGGCUGGUACUGUAGACACAAUGAAAACAACUGAUCUGAUUUUCUUUUUUAAUUAUUUUUUGUGUCCAAGUGGCUUUUAGUUUAAAACCGUGGUUCAUGUUUGAGAGCAGAUGAGAAAAGAGGAAAAAAAAUCCCAGAAAAUGUGAGUCAAAAGCUGUGGUGUAAACAUAUGACUAAGUCCUCGCUAGUUCAUUCGUUUCCAAAUACAAAUUUAGUCUCCAUUUACAGUAAAUUAUUUCAUUCAAGAAUUCAAUAUUUUUUAUGAAUAAAUAAAUAGUCAGCCACAAUCCUUUAAAUCAUUAACCACUUGUCUC
ensembl:lncRNA